rnacentral:rRNA from 1 species
UACGUAGGGGGCUAGCGUUGUCCGGAUUUAUUGGGCGUAAAGAGCGUGUAGGCGGCCAGGUAGGUCCGGUGUGAAAACUCGAGGCUUAACCUCGAGAUGUCAUCGGAAACCAUCUGGCUAGAGUCCGGAAGAGGAAAGUGGAAUUCCUGGUGUAGCGGUGAAAUGCGCAGAUAUCAGGAAGAACACCAAUGGCGAAAGCAGCUUUCUGGGCCGGUACUGACGCUGAGACGCGAAAGCGUGGGGAGCGAACAGG